GAUGAACGCUGGCGGCGUGCCUAAUACAUGCAAGUCGAGCGAACGGACGAGAAGCUUGCUUCUCUGAUGUUAGCGGCGGACGGGUGAGUAUCACGUGGAUAACCUACCUAUAAGACUGGGAUAACUUCGGGAAACCGGAGCUAAUACCGGAUAAUAUUUUGAACCGCAUGGUUCAAAAGUGAAAGACGGUCUUGCUGUCACUUAUAGAUGGAUCUGCGCUGCAUUAGCUAGUUGGUAAGGUAACGGCUUACCAAGGCAACGAUGCAUAGCCGACCUGAGAGGGUGAUCGGCCACACUGGAACUGAGACACGGUCCAGACUCCUACGGGAGGCAGCAGUAGGGAAUCUUCCGCAAUGGGCGAAAGCCUGACGGAGCAACGCCGCGUGAGUGAUGAAGGUCUUCGGAUCGUAAAACUCUGUUAUUAGGGAAGAACAUAUGUGUAAGUAACUGUGCACAUCUUGACGGUACCUAAUCAGAAAGCCACGGCUAACUACGUG
rnacentral:rRNA from 1 species